CUUGCUUCUCUUCUGCCACCUCAGACGACACCUGCCAGGAAAGAGGAACGGGGUGCCUGUGUAUACCAGGGCAGGAUGAGGCGCCCAGGCCUGACAGAGAGACCUCUGUCUCCCCAGUGCCUCUCAAACAGCAAGAGACGUACUGGGGUCUCUCCAUCUUGGAGCAGGGCAAACAGAGCCAGAACCAGAUUCCUCAUAUCCCUGUGGAAAGCCCAGCCUGUUCCUGAUUCAGAAAACUUCCCCCAGCCCUAUCCCCCUCUAUCAUCACUGAACCCAGUUCUGCCAUCAGCUUAUUGUAUGAACUUGGACACCGCUCCUUGGAGCUUGAAUGUCCUGAACCAUAAAAUAGAGACAGCAAACCUAGGAGAGCUACAGGUGCUGAGACAUGGAGGAAGGAGUGCCAGGAGAUGUUGGGCUGAAGACAAAGAACCUGGAGGCGGAGCAUGAGUGCAGGAUGACUGCAAGAGAAGAUGAGAUAAUGGAUAAGAAAGGACUCUGGAACCGGAGAAAUGGGAUGCAGAUGAUGCUCAUUGGUUUUCUUCACCUGAUCGCUGCCCCCUUGAGGACUGAGAGCACCUCCUAGAGUCCCCAGAGGCAGAAACGUGGCCCUCCUCCCCCGUCAUCUUUUCCAGCCCAAGGCUCUACCAGAAAAGGAACCUGUGUGGGGCACCAGGCUGGCUCAAUGGGAAAAGCAUGUGACUCUUGACCUCGGGGUUGGGAGUUCCAGCCCCAUGCUGGGUUACUAAAAAAUCAACUUUAAAAAAAAGGAAAAAGAGAAAGAAUCUCUGCCUCCCCCUGGCUCCCUUGUCUGUCCCUAAGCCCCUGGGCACCCAGGACGCCAGGAAGAUGCUCCUGAUGGAGAAGUGAGAAAAGUCUCCACUCCCCAGCCGCUUCUUCCAGCUCACACCCUCAUGGGCUUGUUGCUUAGAGUCUAAUUAGCUCCCUUCUUGGUUCAGUUUUAAACCUCUAUUGGGGGGCAGCCCCGGUGGCAUGGCGGUUGGGCGCCGCCUGCGGCCUGGGGUGUGAUCCUGGAGACCUGGGAUGGGGUCCUGCGUCGGGCUUCCUGCGUGGAGCCUGCUUCUCCCUCUGCCUGUGUC